AAACCCUAGACCUAAAUAAUAAAGAAAUGGCACCCCAAUGUACUAUUCAUUAUCUUCCUCACUGAGCCCGACCUCAACUCUCCUGAAACUCAGGCGAGUUCACUCAAAUGGAUCCCCUCCUCUCCACGUCACUUUAUUCCAAUGGUUUUCUGUUAGAAAAUAAAGAAUAUUCUCUCCAAAAUAGCACGAUUUCUGUAUGAUGGAACGACUUGCUGGAUGAAUGGGAGUCGUGGAUGGAUGUAAAUCGAUCCAUGCCUUCCAUUUGUCCCAAAAAUCAUUCAAAAAUGUGAGGAUUUUCGGAUAUUUGGGCAGAAGCUUCGAAAUUCUUUGAGGGUAAUAUUUAUGAGAUCCAAGUACCUCUACUCUGGCUUACCAUUCUUGAGGCGCGGCGAUUCUACGGGACUUCGAGGUAUAUCUACCGCGUCCGCAGACCGAGGAGUCUCUUUCUAUUCCUGUAUUUUAGUAUUUAGCCCUACUGUACUUUUGUUCUUGUUAGACAUUCCGGAGAUUAGAGCUAUGUAGUAUUUUUUUUCUCAGCUUGUGGAUCCUUGAGUUUCUGGGUUUUGGGAUAGUGUAUCAGAUUUCGAGAAGUUAUGUGUAUAUGUCAAUCGGCAUUUAAAUAUUAUUUCCUUCAGUUAUUUUCGGUUUUUGAUUA